UACAGAGGGUGCAAGCGUUAAUCGGAAUUACUGGGCGUAAAGGGCGCGUAGGCGGCUUGUCAAGUCACUUGUGAAAUCUCUGGGCUUAACCCAGAACGGCCAAGUGAAACUGACAUGCUAGAGUGCAGAAGGGGCAAUCGGAAUUCUUGGUGUAGCGGUGAAAUGCGUAGAUAUCAAGAGGAACACCUGAGGUGAAGACGGGUUGCUGGGCUGACACUGACGCUGAUGCGCGAAAGCCAGGGGAGCAAACGGG
rnacentral:rRNA from 1 species